UGGGGAGUUUUGGACAAUGGGGGCAACCCUGAUCCAGCAAUGCCGCGUGUGUGAAGAAGGCCUUCGGGUUGUAAAGCACUUUUGUCCGGAAAGAAAUCGCGCUGGUUAAUACCUGGCGUGGAUGACGGUACCGGAAGAAUAAGCACCGGCUAACUACGUGCCAGCAGCCGCGGUAAUACGUAGGGUGCGAGCGUUAAUCGGAAUUACUGGGCGUAAAGCGUGCGCAGGCGGUUUUGUAAGGCAGGCGUGAAAUCCCCGGGCUUAACCUGGGAAUUGCGCUUGUGACUGCAAGGCUAGAGUGCGUCAGAGGGGGGUAGAAUUCCACGUGUAGCAGUGAAAUGCGUAGAGAUGUGGAGGAAUACCGAUGGCGAAGGCAGCCCCCUGGGACGUGACUGACGCUCAUGCACGAAAGCGUGGGGAGCAAACAGGAUUAGAUACCCUGGUAGUCCACGCCCUAAACGAUGUCAACUAGUUGUUGGGGAUUCAUUUUCUCAGUAACGUAGCUAACGCGUGAAGUUGACCGCCUGGGGAGUACGGUCGCAAGAUUA
rnacentral:rRNA from 1 species